GAGUUAUAGUCACUAGCGAGCUUAAGACAUUCAGUGUUGGAGGCGUAGGGAAACCGAGUCUGAACAGGGCGAAUGAAGUUAGUGGCCAUAGACCCGAAACCAUGUGACCUAGCCAUGAGCAGGAUGAAGUGGAGGUAAAGCUCCAUGGAGGUCCGAACGCACGUUCGUUGCAAUGACCGGCGAUGACUUGUGGCUAGCGGUGAAAUUCCAAUCGAACUUGGAGAUAGCUGGUUCUCCCCGAAAUAGCUUUAGGGCUAGCGUUGGGAAUGAGUUUAGCGGAGGUAAAGCACUGAAUGAGCUAGGGGGCGCAAGCUUACUGAACUCUAUCAAACUAAGAAUGCCGCAUAAAUGCUUCCCAGCAGUCAGACUGCGAGUAAUAAAAUCCGUGGUCAAAAGGGAAACAGCCCAGACCCACAGCUAAGGUCCCCAAUACAUGCUAAGUGGAAAACGAUGUGAGAUUGCAUAAACAACCAGGAUGUUGGCUUAGAGGCAGCCACUCGUUCAAAGAGUGCGUAAUAGCUCACUGGUCGAGUGAUCUUGCGCGGAAAAUUUAACGGGGCUAAGCAUGUAACCGAAGCUUAGGGUUUACGCUUUGCGUAAGCGGUAGGGGAGCGUCGAAUACGGGGUGAAGUCAUACCGAAAGGAAUGGUGGACUGUAUUCGAGUGAGAAUGCCGGAAUGAGUAGCGAGAAUUAUGUGGGAAUCAUAAUGGCCGAAAAUCUAAGGUUUCUUGGGGAAGGUUCGUCCGCCCAAGGUAAGCCGGGAGCUAAGGCGAGGCCGCAAGGCGUAGUCGAUGCACAUACGGUAGAAAUUCCGUAGCCACCGAACUUUAAACCAGAAGGACACUUUCAGAUAGCGGGACCCAGCCGUUGGUAGAGCUGGGCGCAAGGGACCGAAAUAUAGUAGGGAAGUCCGCGAUGCUGGGAGGCGAGAAAAGCUCUGGUGAAUACUAAGGUGCCCGUACCGCAAACCGACACAGGUAGAUGAGGAGAGAAUCCUAAGGCCAACGGGAGAAGGGUUGUUAAGGAACUCGGCAAAUUGACCCCGUAACUUCGGAAGAAGGGGAGCCUCGAAAGAGGCCGCAGUGAAUAGGCCCAAGCAACUGUUUACCAAAAACACAGGUCUAUGCUAAAUCGAAAGAUGACGUAUAUGGGCUGACGCCUGCCCGGUGCCGGAAGGUUAAGAGGAGAGCUUAGCGCAAGCGAAGGUUUGAAUUGAAGCCCCGGUAAACGGCGGCCGUAACUAUAACGGUCCUAAGGUAGCGAAAUUCCUUGUCAGGUAAGUUCUGACCCGCACGAAUGGCGUAAUGAUUUGGGCACUGUCUCGACAGCCCGCCCGGCGAAAUUGUAGUACUGGUGAAGAUGCCAGUUACCCGCAACUAGACGGAAAGACCCCAUGGAGCUUUACUGCAGUUUAAUACUGGGAAUCGGUAAUUCAUGUACAGGAUAGGUGGGAGACUGAGAAGCAUGGCCGUCAGGUCGUGUGGAGUCACCGGUGGGAUACCACUCUUGGAUUGCUGGUUUCCUAACCUGCGGCCCUGAAUCGGGUCGGGGGACACUGUUAGACGGGCAGUUUGACUGGGGCGGUCGCCUCCAAAAGAGUAACGGAGGCGCUCAAAGGUUGGCUCAGCAUGGACGGAAACCAUGCUCUUGAGUGUAAACGCAAAAGCCAGCCUAACUGCGAGACUGACGGGUCGAGCAGUAACGAAAGUUGGAGUUAGUGAUCCGGUGGUAUGUGAGUGGAAAUGCCAUCGCUCAACGGAUAAAAGCUACCCUGGGGAUAACAGGCUGAUCUCCCCCAAGCGUCCACAGCGACGGGGAGGUUUGGCACCUCGAUGUCGGCUCGUCGCAUCCUGGGGCUGUAUUCGGUCCCAAGGGUUUGGCUGUUCGCCAAUUAAAGCGGCACGCGAGCUGGGUUCAGAACGUCGUGAGACAGUUCGGUCCCUAUCUGUUGCGGGCGUAAGAGAUUUGAAGGGAGCUGUCCUUAGUACGAGAGGACCGGGAUGGACGUACCUCUGGUGCACCAGUUGUCCUGCCAAGGGCAUAGCUGGGUAGCUAUGUACGGACGAGAUAAACGCUGAAAGCAUCUAAGCGUGAAACUCCCCCUAAGAUGAGAUCUCUCAUCCUUUAAGGAGUAAGGACCCAGAAAGACGAUCUGGUUGAUAGGCCGAAGGUGGAAGCGCAGUAAUGUGUGCAGCUGAUCGGUACUAAUAGUCCGAGGGCUUGACCU
rnacentral:rRNA from 1 species